rnacentral:misc_RNA from 1 species
GAUGAAGAACGUAGCGAAAUGCGAUAAGUAAUGUGAAUUGCAGAAUUCAGUGAAUCAUCGAAUCUUUGAACGCACAUUGCGCCCAUAGUAUUCUAGUGGGCAUGCCUGUUCGAGCGUCAUUAAGUCCACUUAAGCCCUGCUUAGUGUUGGGAGACUGCUCCAGCGGUGCUACCCUGUAGCUACCCUGCAGCUCCUCAAAGACAGCGGCGGAGUUGUGGUAUCCUCUGAGCUUAGUAACUUGUUCUAGCUUUCGAGUACACCACUUCCCCUGCCGUAAAACCCUUAAUUUUUAAUGGUUGACCUCGGAUCAGGUAGGAAUACCCGCUGAACUUAAGCAUAUCAAUAAGCGGAGGA